rnacentral:tRNA from 1 species
UGCCCGAGUAGUUUAAAUAAAAUAUCGGUCUUGUAAGCCGAAGAUGAAAACUAACACAUUCUUCGGGUGG